AGUGAACGCUGGCGGCAUGGUUAAGACAUGCAAGUCGAACGAAAAGCAAAUCUUCGGAUUUGUGGAAAGUGGCGAACGGGUGCGUAACACGUGAGCAACCUGCCCUAAAGUGCGGAACAGCCUGUCGAAAGAUGGAUUAAUGCCGCAUGUGGCUCUUCUUCGCAUGAAGAAGUAGCUAAAGCUUGUAAUGGCGCUUUAGGAUGGGCUCGCGGCCUAUCAGCUUGUUGGUAAGGUAACGGCUUACCAAGGCUAAGACGGGUAGCUGGUCUGAGAGGAUGAUCAGCCACACCGGGACUGAGACACGGCCCGGACACCUACGGGUGGCAGCAGUUUCGAAUCAUUCACAAUGGGCGAAAGCCUGAUGAUGCAAUGCCGCGUGGAGGAUGAAGGCCUUAGGGUCGUAAACUCCUGUCAUUGGGGAGCAACAAAUAGGUUCAUAGCCUAUCAUGAGUUAACCCGAAGAGGAAGAGGUGGCUAACUCCGUGCCAGCAGCCGCGGUAAUACGGAGACCUCGAGCGUUACUCGGAUUCACUGGGCGUAAAGGGUGAGUAGGUGGCCAAGUAUGUCAGGUGUGAAAUCCCGGGGCUUAACCCCGGAACUGCGCCUGAAACUACUUGGCUAGAGUCUCGGAGAGGAUAGUGGAAUUCCAAGUGUAGCGGUGAAAUGCGUAGAUAUUUGGAGGAACACCAGUGGCGAAGGCGACUAUCUGGACGAGUACUGACGCUCAAUCACGAAAGCGUGGGUAGCGAAAGGGAUUAGAUACCCCUGUAGUCCACGCCGUAAACGUUGCACACUAAGUUUCGGAGGAUUCGACCCCUUCGGAGCUCAAGCUAACGCGUUAAGUGUGCCGCCUGAGGACUACGGCCGCAAGGCUAAAACUCAAAGGAAUUGACGGGGGCCCGCACAAGCGGUGGAGCAUGUGGCUUAAUUCGAGGCAACGCGAAGAACCUUACCUGGUCUUGACAUGCCCGUCAUAGUUUUCCGAAAGGAAUUCGUCAGUUAGGCUGGACGGUGCACAGGUGCUGCAUGGCUGUCGUCAGCUCGUGUCGUGAGAUGUUCGGUUAAGUCCGGCAACGAGCGCAACCCUCGUUCCUAGUUGCCAGCGGGUAAUGCCGGGGACUCUAGGAAGACAAACCUCGUGUAGAGGUGGGAAGGUGGGGACGACGUCAAGUCAGUAUGGCCCUUACGACCAGGGCUGCACACGUGCUACAAUGCCCGGUACAAUGGGAUGCAAUACCGCGAGGUUGAGCCAAUCCAUAAAACCGGGCCCAGUUCGGAUUGGAGUCUGCAACUCGACUCCAUGAAGUUGGAAUCGCUAGUAAUGGCGUAUCAGCAACGACGCCGUGAAUACGUUCCCGGGCCUUGUACACACCGCCCGUCACAUCAUGAAAGCCGGUUCUGCCCGAAGUACGUGAGCCAACCGCAAGGAGGCAGCGUCCUAAGGUGGGGCUGGUGAUUGGGAUGAAGUCGUAACAAGGUAGCCGUAGGGGAACCUGCGGCUGGAUCACCUCCUUUCUAUGGAGCUAGCUUAUCUUUCGUGGGUAAGCAGGUCGAUUGAAUCUUGUUCGCAAGGUUCAAGAUUGGAUGACCCGUUUAUAUACAUUACACAAAAUAGUUUUUGAAGAACAUUCUUUGUUCUUCGCUUCAAUCCUGUUCGAACGAUGAAUCGAUUGGGUCGCAUUAUCAUUCUUGGGGCCGUAGCUCAGUUGGAAGAGCGCCUGAUUUGCAUUCAGGAGGUCGUCGGUUCGAUCCCGAUCGGCUCCACCAAUUGAAUUCUUUUUUGAAUUUGGGCUCAUAGCUCAGCUGGUUAGAGCACCGUGUUGAUAACGCGGGGGUCGGUGGUUCAAGUCCACCUGGGCCCACCAUUUUGAAGCGUAGAAUAUUAUCAUUUUAUGUUCUUUGACAGUUUAACGUCUAAUGGGUGACACAAGCGUCACUCAUCCGGAGUAAAUACCAACGGCGAUUCAAUUAUGAAUCAAAUGAAUUAAGGGCAAUUGGUGAAUGCCUUGGCGAUGUCAGGCGAUGAAGGACGUGGCUAGCUGCGAUAAGCCUCGGGUAGCGGCAAACACGCUUUGAUCCGGGGAUUU
rnacentral:rRNA from 1 species